AGGACGAACGCUGGCGGCGUGCUUAGCACAUGCAAGUCGAGCGGAAAGGCCCUUCGGGGUACUCGAGCGGCGAACGGGUGAGUAACACGUGAGCAACCUGCCCUUAGCUCUGGGAUAGCUCCGGGAAACCGGAAUUAAUACCGGAUACGACCUAGGCCGACAUCGGCCAUGGUGGAAAGUUUUUCGGCUAGGGAUGGACUCGCGGCCUAUCAGCUAGUUGGUGGGGUAAAGGCCUACCAAGGCGACGACGGGUA
rnacentral:rRNA from 1 species